CAGGUGUGCGGACGUAAAGGAAAGUAAAUGAAGACCACAUGAAGAUGGUCAGCAGCAUUCUCACAAGUAACAAGCCAAAAACAGGAAGUACGAUGCAAAGCGGAACACAAUGCUUCCACUCCAGAAAUUAUUCAAGUGACCCUGUGGAGAAUCGAAAGGUGGAAGGAGGUCCCGCCGCUUCCAAUUUAUUAAAUGCAGUGUGCAGAUAUUGUAAAAAAAAAAUAAAAAUAUUUUAAUGGUU